GAUUCCCCUAGUAACUGCGAGUGAAGCGGGAAAAGCUCAAAUUUAAAAUCUGACAGCUUUGGUUGUCCGAGUUGUAGUCUGGAGAAGCGUUUUCUGUGCUGGACCGUGUACAAGUCUCUUGGAACAGAGCGUCAUAGAGGGUGAGAAUCCCGUCUUUGAUACGGACUGCCAGUGCUUUGUGAUGCGCUCUCAAAGAGUCGAGUUGUUUGGGAAUGCAGCUCAAAAUGGGUGGUAAAUUCCAUCUAAAGCUAAAUAUUGGCGAGAGACCGAUAGCGAACAAGUACCGUGAGGGAAAGAUGAAAAGCACUUUGGAAAGAGAGUUAAACAGUACGUGAAAUUGCUGAAAGGGAAACGCUUGAAGUCAGUCGCGUUGUCCAGAACUCAGCCUGGCUUUUGCCUGGUGCAUUUUCUGGUUAACGGGCCAGCAUCAAUUUUGACCGCUGGAUAAARGCCUUGGGAAUGUGGCUCUCUCGGGAGUGUUAUAGCCCUUGGUUGCAUACAGCGGUUGGGAUUGAGGAUCUCAGCAUGCCUUUAUGGUCGGGGUUCGCCCACGUUCAUGCUUAGGAUGCUGGCGUAAUGGCU
rnacentral:rRNA from 1 species